rnacentral:misc_RNA from 1 species
UAUCAAUAAAAAAAAAAAAAAAAAUUAAGAAUAUAGAGCACUUUCAACCUCCACCAAGUGUAACAUGCUUUUUUUUUUUCCCAAAGGAAAGACAAGAAACAAGUCUCUAAAAACAUGAACUACAACAGGCACUUGGCUGACAAACAGCACCAGAUGAAACACAACUUAACUAAAGUUUACUGUUAAUAAUUUGAACCUAACCUUAAGAAGUCGGAAAACUUUCCG